GCCUCAGUAACGGCGAGUGAAGCGGCAACAGCUCAAAUUUGAAAUCUGGCGCCCCCCGGCGUCCGAGUUGUAAUUUGUAGAGGAUGCUAUUGGGUUGCCACCGGUCUAAGUUCCUUGGAACAGGACGUCACAGAGGGUGAGAAUCCCGUACGUGACCGGCCAGGCGCUCUCUGUAUAGCUCCUUCGACGAGUCGGGUUGUUUGGGAAUGCAGCCCUAAAUGGGAGGUAAAUUUCUUCUAAAGCUAAAUACCGGCCAGAGACCGAUAGCGCACAAGUAGAGUGAUCGAAAGAUGAAAAGCACUUUGGAAAGAGAGUUAAAAAGCACGUGAAAUUGUUGAAAGGGAAGCGCUUGCCAUCAGUCUCGACGGCGGCUGUUCGGCCUCUCUUCUGAGUGGUUUAUUCAGUCGCCGCCGGGCCAGCAUCAGUUUCGGCGGCCGGACAAAGGCGCGGGGAAUGUAGCUCCCUCGGGAGUGUUAUAGCCCCGCGUGCAAUACGGCCCGCCGGGACUGAGGUCCGCGCUUCGGCUAGGAUGCUGGCGAAAUGGUGGUAAGCGGCCCGUCUUGAAACACGGACCAAGGAGUCUAACAUCUACGCGAGUGUUUGGGUGUCAAACCCGUGCGCGCAAUGAAAGUGAACGGAGGUGGGAACCGCAAGGUGCACCAUCGACCGAUCCUGAUGUCUUCGGAUGGAUUUGAGUAAGAGCGUAGCUGUUGGGACCCGAAAGAUGGUGAACUAUGCCUGAAUAGGGUGAAGCCAGAGGAAACUCUGGUGGAGGCUCGCAGCGGUUCUGACGUGCAAAUCGAUCGUCAAAUUUGGGUAUA
rnacentral:rRNA from 1 species